AAAGCAGGCCGUUCUAUCGCAGCAUUGCUGAGGAAAGUCCGGGCAACAAAGGACGCCAUGCUUCCUAACGGGAAGGCGCCGCGAGGCGUAUGAGCGUAACAGAAAAUAACCGCCGGCCUGCGGGUCGGUAAGGGUGAAAAGGCGGGGUAAGAGCCUGCCGGUUCCGCGGUGACGCAGGAAACCGUACGCAUCAUGGGUUGUAAGGCCAAGUAUACCGUCGCAGUAGGGCUGUCCGUUCGAUGACGGGGGGUAGGCCGCUCGACUCCGCCGGCAACGGCAGAGCAAGAUAAAUGAUAGGACGCGACAGAACCCGGCUUACAGGCCUGCUUUAUUU
rnacentral:RNase_P_RNA from 1 species